GCAUUAGUAGCUCAGAUUCAGAGCGUCGGUCUUGUAAACAGAAUGUCGGGGGUUAAAAUCCCCCCUUAUGCU
rnacentral:tRNA from 1 species